CAGGAUCGACGUGUAUUGAAAGGCGCCGUCUUCGCUCGGAAUGGGACCACCGCAACGGCCCAUUACACAAGUGCCAACGAUAACGAAGCACUCGCGAUUGCGGCGUAACUGAUGGCCUAACGGCCUGACGUUACACCAAAAUAGCGCGGUUGGACCCCACCGGGCAACAGAAG
rnacentral:sRNA from 14 species